rnacentral:rRNA from 1 species
GACGAACGCUGGCGGCGUGCUUAACACAUGCAAGUCGAACGGAAAGGCCCUGCUUUUGUGGGGUGCUCGAGUGGCGAACGGGGGAGUAACACGUGAGUAACCUGCCCUUGACUUUGGGAGAACUUCAGGAAACUGGGGCUACUACCGGAUAGCAUCUCCUGCUGCAUGGUGGGGGUUGGAAAUUUUAGGCGGUUGGGGAUGGACUCGCGGCUGAUCAGCUAGUUGGUGGGGUAGUGGCUUACCAAGGCUUUGACGGGUAGCCGGCAUGAGAGCGUGACCGGCGACAAUGCGCCUGAGAUACGGCGCAGACUCCUACAGGAGGCAGCAGUGGGGAAUAUGGCACAAUGGGCGCAAGUCUGAUACAGAAACGUUGGGUGCGUGAUGCCGGCCUGCGGGUAGUAAACAGCUUUCGCCUGAGACGAAGCGUGAGUGACGGUAAUGGGUAAAGAAGCACCGGCUAACUACGUG